CCUGGCUCAGAUUGAACGCUGGCGGCAUGCUUUACACAUGCAAGUCGGACGGCAGCGGGGGUGCUUGCACCUGCCGGCGAGUGGCGAACGGGUGAGUAACAUAUUGGAAUGUACCGAGUAGUGGGGGAUAACCAAUCGAAAGAUUGGCUAAUACCGCAUACGUCCUGAGGGGGAAAGCAGGGGAUCUUCGGACCUUGCGCUAUUUGAGCAGCCAAUAUCUGAUUAGCUAGUUGGUGGGGUAAGGGCCCACCAAGGCGACGAUCAGUAGCGGGUCUGAGAGGAUGAUCCGCCACACUGGGACUGAGACACGGCCCAGACUCCUACGGGAGGCAGCAGUGGGGAAUUUUGGACAAUGGGGGCAACCCUGAUCCAGCCAUGCCGCGUGAGGGAUGGAGGCCUUCGGGUUGUAAACCUCUUUCGCCAGUGAAGCAGGCCUGCUCCUUGUGGGUGGGUUGACGGUAGCUGGAUAAGAAGCGCCGGCUAACUAC
rnacentral:rRNA from 1 species